rnacentral:rRNA from 1 species
UACGUAGGGUGCGAGCGUUGUCCGGAAUUAUUGGGCGUAAAGAGCUCGUAGGCGGUCUGUCGCGUCUGCUGUGAAAAUCCGGGGCUCAACCCCGGACUUGCAGUGGGUACGGGCAGACUAGAGUGUGGUAGGGGAGACUGGAAUUCCUGGUGUAGCGGUGAAAUGCGCAGAUAUCAGGAGGAACACCGAUGGCGAAGGCAGGUCUCUGGGCCACUACUGACGCUGAGAAGCGGAAAGCAUGGG